rnacentral:snRNA from 1 species
AGCUUCACACAAUGGCAGUAUUGUAGCAAAUGAGGUUUAUCUGAGGUGCAAUUAUUGGUAAUUGAAACCUUUUCCCAAUACCUUGCCAUGACUUUGAAAUAUAUUUGACAUUGGCAAUUAGAC